rnacentral:rRNA from 1 species
CCUACGGGAGGCAGCAGUAGGGAAUAUUGCACAAUGGGGGAAACCCUGAUGCAGCAACGCCGCGUGGGUGAUGACGGUUUUCGGAUUGUAAACUCCUGUCGUCAGGGACGAUAAUGACGGUAUCUAACGAAUAAGCACCGGCUAACUCCGUGCCAGCAGCCGCGGUAAUACGUAGGUUGCAAGCGUUACUCGGAAUAACUGGGCGUAAAGAGCGCGUAGGCGGGAUAGCAAGUCAGAUGUGAAAUCCUAUGGCUUAACCAGAGAACUGCAUUUUAAACUGUUAUUCUAGAGUAUGGGAGAGGUAGGUGGAAUGCUUGGUGUAGGGGUAAAAUCCGUAGAGAUCAAGAGGAAUA